AUUGAACGCUGGCGGCAUGCUUUACACGUGCAAGUCGAACGGUAACAGGUUAAGCUGACGAGUGGCGAACGGGUGAGUAAUGCAUCGGAACGUGCCCGAUCGUGGGGGAUAACGCAGCGAAAGCUGCGCUAAUACCGCAUACGAUCUGAGGAUGAAAGCGGGGGACCGUAAGGCCUCGCGCGAUCGGAGCGGCCGAUGUCAGAUUAGGUAGUUGGUGGGGUAAAGGCCUACCAAGGCGACGAUCAGUAGCCGGCCUGAGAGGGUGAACGGCCACACUGGGACUGAGACACGGCCCAGACUCCUACGGGAGGCAGCAGUGGGGAAUAUUGCGCAAUGGGGGAAACCCUGACGCAGCGACGCCGCGUGAGCGAUGAAGGCCUUAGGGUUGUAAAGCUCUGUUUUAAGGGACGAAUGUUACGGGGAGUAAUAUGCCCUGUAAAUGACGGUACCUUAAGAGGAAGCCCCGGCUAACUACGUGCCAGCAGCCGCCGUAA
rnacentral:rRNA from 1 species